rnacentral:rRNA from 1 species
CGGACGGGUGAGUAAUGCCUAGGAAUCUGCCUGGUAGUGGGGGACAACGUUUCGAAAGGAACGCUAAUACCGCACACGUCCUACGGGAGAAAGCAGGGGACCUUCGGGCCUUGCGCUAUCAGAUGAGCCUAGGUCGGAUUAGCUAGUUGGUGAGGUAAUGGCUCACCAAGGCGACGAUCCGUAACUGGUCUGAGAGGAUGAUCAGUCACACUGGAACUGAGACACGGUCCAGACUCCUACGGGAGGCAGCAGCC